GACGAACGCUGGCGGCGUGCCUAAUACAUGCAAGUCGUGCGGACCUUGUUGAAAGCUUGCUUUUAAAAGGUUAGCGGCGGACGGGUGAGUAACACGUGGGCAACCUGCCUGUAAGACUGGGAUAACGCCGGGAAACCGGGCCUAAUACCAGAUCGUUUUUUCCUCCGCAUGGAGGAAAAAGGAAAGGCGGCUUCGGCUGCCACUUACAGAUGGGCCCGCGGCGCAUUAGCUAGUUGGCGGGGUAAUGGCCCACCAAGGCAACGAUGCGUAGCCGACCUGAGAGGGUGAUCGGCCACAUUGGGACUGAGACACGGCCCAAACUCCUACGGGAGGCAGCAGUAGGGAAUCUUCCGCAAUGGACGAAAGUCUGACGGAGCAACGCCGCGGGAGUGAAGAAGGCCUUCGGGUCGUAAAACUCUGUUGCCGGGGAAGAACAAGUGCCGUUCGAACAGGGCGGCGCCUUGACGGUACCCGGCCAGAAAGCCACGGCUAACUACGUG
rnacentral:rRNA from 1 species